ACUCCUACGGGAGGCAGCAGUCGAGAAUUUUUCUCAAUGGGGGAAACCCUGAAGGAGCGACGCCGCGUGGAGGAUGAAGGUCUUCGGGUUGUAAACUCCUGUCAUUUGGGAACAAGGUGCAGCAGUUAACUGCUACUGCAUUGAUAGUACCAGAAGAGGAAGAGACGGCUAACUCUGUGCCAGCGGCCGCGGUAAUACAGAGGUCUCAAGCGUUGUUCGGAUUCAUUGGGCGUAAAGGGUGCGUAGGUGGCGCGGUAAGUCGGGUGUGAAAUUUCGGAGCUUAACUCCGAAACUGCAUUCGAUACUGCCGUGCUUGAGGACUGGAGAGGAGACUGGAAUUUACGGUGUAGCGGUGAAAUGCGUAGAGAUC
rnacentral:rRNA from 1 species